GACGAACGCUGGCGGCGUGCCUAAUACAUGCAAGUUGAGCGAUGAAGAUUGGUGCUUGCACCCAUUUGAAGAGCAGCGAACGGGUGAGUAACGCGUGGGGAAUCUGCCUUUGAGCGGGGGACAACAUUUGGAAACGAAUGCUAAUACCGCAUAACAACUUUAAACAUAAGUUUUAAGUUUGAAAGAUGCAAUUGCAUCACUCAAAGAUGAUCCCGCGUUGUAUUAGCUAGUUGGUGAGGUAAAGGCUCACCAGGGCGAUGAUACAUAGCCGACCUGAGAGGGUGAUCGGCCACAUUGGGACUGAGACACGGCCCAAACUCCUACGGGAGGCAGCAGUAGGGAAUCUUCGGCAAUGGACGAAAGUCUGACCGAGCAACGCCGCGUGAGUGAAGAAGGGUUUCGGAUCGUAAAACUCUGUUGGUAGAGAAGAACGUUGGUGAGAGUGGAAAGCUCAUCAAGUGACGGUAACUACCCAGAAAGGGACGGCUAACUACGUG
rnacentral:rRNA from 1 species